AACGAACGCUGACGGCAUGCCUAACACAUGCAAGUCGAACGAGGUCUUCGGGUCUAGUGGCGCACGGGUGCGUGACGCGUGGGAAUCUGCCCUUUGGUUCGGAAUAACAGUUGGAAACGACUGCUGAUACCGGAUGAUGACGAAAGUCCAAAGAUUUAUCGCCAGAGGAUGAGCCCGCGUAGGAUUAGCUAGUUGGUGUGGUAAAGGCGCACCAAGGCGACGAUCCUUAGCUGGUCUGAGAGGAUGAUCAGCCACACUGGGACUGAGACACGGCCCAGACUCCUACGGGAGGCAGCAGUGGGGAAUAUUGGACAAUGGGCGAAAGCCUGAUCCAGCAAUGCCGCGUGAGUGAUGAAGGCCUUAGGGUUGUAAAGCUCUUUUACCCGGGAUGAUAAUGACAGUACCGGGGGAAUAAGCUCCGGCUAACUCCGUGCCAGCCGCCGCAGUAA
rnacentral:rRNA from 1 species